GCCCUUAGAGUUUGAUCCUGGCUCAGGAUGAACGCUGGCGGUAUGCUUUACACAUGCAAGUCGUACGAGAGUUUUUAACUCAAGUGGCGGACGGGUGAGUAACACGUAAGAAUUUGCCUUUAGGAGGGGGAUAACAACUGGAAACGGUUGCUAAUACCCCAUAUGCUUUCGAGUAAAAUGGAUUUUCCGCCUAAAGAGAAGCUUGCGGCUGAUUAGCUUGUUGGUGAGGUAAUGGCUCACCAAGGCGACGAUCAGUAUCUGGUUUGAGAGGACGAUCAGACACACUGGAACUGAGACACGGUCCAGACUCCUACGGGAGGCAGCAGUGGGGAAUUUUCCGCAAUGGGCGAAAGCCUGACGGAGCAAUACCGCGUGAGGGAUGACGGCCUAUGGGUUGUAAACCUCUUUUUUCAGGGAGGAAUCAAUGACGUGUACCUGAAGAAUAAGCAUCGGCUAACUCCGUGCCAGCAGCCGCGGUAAGACGGAGGAUGCAAGUGUUAUCCGGAAUCACUGGGCGUAAAGCGUCUGUAGGUGGUCAAAUAAGCCAACUGUUAAAUCUUGAGGCUCAACCUCAAAAUCGCAGUCGAAACUAUUCGACUAGAGUAUAGUAGGGGUAAAGGGAAUUUCCAGUGGAGCGGUGAAAUGCGUAGAGAUUGGAAAGAACACCGAUGGCGAAGGCACUUUACUGGGCUAUUACUAACACUGAGAGACGAAAGCUAGGGUAGCAAAUGGGAUUAGAUACCCCAGUAGUCCUAGCCGUAAACAAUGGAUACUAGAUGUUGAACAGAUCGACCUGUGCAGUAUCAAAGCUAACGCGUUAAGUAUCCCGCCCGGGAAGUAUGCUCGCAAGAGUGAAACUCAAAUGAAUUGACGGGGAAGGGC
rnacentral:rRNA from 1 species